rnacentral:rRNA from 1 species
ACUUUACAAUGCGAGAAAUCGUGAUAAGGGAACCCCGAGUGCCCGUAAAUUCGGGCUGUCCAUCAGUGUAAAUAACUGGUGAAGAAAGGGCCGGGCAAGACCGGUGCCAGCCGCCGCGGUAAUACCGGCGGCUCGAGUGGUGGCCACUAUUACUGGGCUUAAAGCGUCCGUAGCUGGAUUGUUAAGUCUCUUGGGAAAUCCGCCGGCUUAACCGGCGGGCGUUCAGGAGAAACUGGCAAUCUAGGGACCGGGAGAGGUGAGAGGUACUCCAGGGGUAGGAGUGAAAUCCUGUAAUCCUUGGGGGACCACCUGUGGCGAAGGCGCCUCACCAGAACGGCUUCGACAGUGAGGGACGAAAGCUGGGGGAGCAAACCGG